UGUAGAGAGUGGUGGGGUCUCU
rnacentral:miRNA from 1 species